rnacentral:snRNA from 1 species
UGAUGUGAGGGUGAUCUGGCUGUGACAUCUGUCACCGCAUUGAACGCCAGGGUUGAUUCGGCUGAUCUGGCUGGCUAGGCGUGUGCCCUCUUCCUCCUUCACCACUCACUGCAUGUGCGUCCCUCUGGAAGCUGCGCACUCAGUCGAAGAGGACGGCCUUCCCCCAAAUAGAGACGGACCGGUCUUCAAUCGAGGGUAUACAAGGGUAUACGAGUAGCUGCGCUCCCCUGCUAGAACCUCCAAACAAGCUCUCCAGUAUGUGCUGUACAGGAGAUGAUCAAAUCAGGAGCUUCAGACAUGAGAAUCCUGUACUCU